AAGUGUUGUCAUGCCGCAUACGACUAUGGUAACUCUAUAAAUAUUAGUUCGAAACGAGCACAGUAAACAAGCCUAUUAUGAAAGUUUUUGCCCAAGUGAUUAGCCUAGUCGUGAUUAGCGUGGUGGUGAUUAUCCCACCAUGCGGGGCUACACUUGGACGAAGAAAGGCUUAGAAAACAAGCCAGAAUCGCAAGAAAACCCCCGCACCGCAAGGUUCGGGGGUUUUUUAUUGGCAAGAGAAAAGUGAAGCAAGAGGCAGAAAAUGAAAAACAGAGCAAAAUAUUACAGUUGUUGCAAUAAGGC
rfam:Serratia symbiotica str. Tucson genomic scaffold scaffold00333, whole genome shotgun sequence.